rnacentral:other from 1 species
CAAAUCCUGAGAUGCUCGAUACUCCUGUUAUUUUGAACCUACAUGAUUUAAAAGGGAUUCCUACAUCUGUAAGUGGAUGUCAAGCCGCCUUUUGCAGCGGAAGGCAGAAAUUUACAUGCGGUUACCCACCUAGCUUUGCUAGGCGUCAAAAUGCAGGAACCGGCAUUUUGGGUGGAUA